UUCAAGAUUUUCAAGAAGUAUUGGCUAAUGGCUGGGAAUAGUUACGUAUCGACUUCGAAGUCUAAGCCCGACGCAGGUYGAUACAUAUCGCUUGUACCUAUAUUGAACGUGUAACUUCUUGGACACUCAAAAUUAAAUCGAUACGUAUYGAUGCUCUCCAAUUUCUUAUUCGAAAAUCUUCGUCAUGGCUUUGUUGAUUGUUCCAAGGAACGUCUUUCAUUCACCAUUCACKYGAUAACUUUACUGAUAAGCACGACUGCUGUAAAUGAUAACGUCACGUAAUCUGAUCAUCAAGACGAAAUAAUUUUGAAUUUAAUAGUCUAAUAGUGCCAGACUACACCGAAGACUACAACAAACUGUACUAGACUGUACUACGGCAAUAUCUAAAAACUGUAGUUUUCUUUAUGCAGUUAGAUAUACGGAAAGUUGGAAUUCAACGGACUAGGUUUCAAAUUCAAUGCGACAUAGCCUAGAGAAGUAAAGAAGUUCGCAGUUAUAUACGAUUUUUACGGAUUCGCUCAUCUUUUUAGUUUACCGCGCCCAUUGCGAAUAUUUAUGGGUUUUUUAAACCUAAAUUUUUCAAUGAGCAGAUAACCC